GAGUGUAUGGCAUGUGAUAGAUGUAUGUGUGGGUGUAGGAGAUAAUUUUCUCCUCAAUUAUAAUUCUCUCUUUUCUCUCACAGUAAACACAACACACACCCACGCCACUCUCUCAUCUCUCCCGCGGCUUCUCUCUCUCUCUCUCCCUCUCUCUCUCUCAUACCCUUACCAAAUUUCUUCCCCAAAUCUCAAAUUAACCAAGGGAUCUUGGAGCAAUCUUCUCCUAGAGUCGAGUUCUAGCCUGUGAUCGCGUUGGAAAGCUCGGAGGAGGUGUUUUCGGGAGAGGUUUUGCCAGGAGAUUCUUGGGGUUUUAAUUUCAACCUUCGAGGUACUCGCCAUGGCACUUAGCUUGGGUUGCACGGAGUGCACAUUGAGACGUCUCUUGAGAGCUUCAUUGGUAUCGUUAAGUGUUUAUCAUCUAGUCUAAUUCAUGUUAUGUACUUUACUCGAAAUUGAAGGUUGUACCUUUUGGCUAGAAUAUAUGUAAAGCCAUGUAUAAAUUCCUCUCCUCGAUUAUUAUGAAACCCAUUUAAUUGUAAACGUUUGGGAGGCUUUUUGUAAAAAAAAAAAUAGAGAGAAGAAGAAGAGACUUUGAUUCGUUGUUUGGAUUGGCAUGACAUUUAAGGGUAAAUAUAGUAAGAGAGAGAGACUUUUGUUUGUGGAAAA